CAGUAUUAUAAUUUUUCUUCUGGGAAAUGAGUAAAUAUGUUUUUUAUAUAUUAUAAUAUAUACAUUACGUGUCUAAGUAUGCUCUAACCUACACCAAUACUUUCUGUAAUACACUAGCUCUUCCUAUUCCUUUCUUUUUUGUGGUAUAGCAGAUGAACCAAGAUGACCUCAUGCUACAGCUUUGCUCCUCUGGAAAAAUGAAGCUGUCAACAACAUCGGAAAAGACUCGUAACCACAGGAAACAAAACGUUCACAGAAGCUGGACUAAGACUAUGGAACUUGUUGCCAGACAAAAUAGGAAUGACCAGCACAUGUGCCACACUAAACAUUCAGUGCAAGAACCUAAUUAUUCAACUUAACUUUCCCUUGAUAGUCUUUUCAAGCAUCCUUAGACUAAAUGCUUUUUUGGUUAUAAGACUAUGAAAAGCUCAAAAAUGUUAAGAGGUUGAAAAAAAUGGCAAGCUCACAUGUAAUGUCCCUGGAAAAUGGCUAGACAUUACAGCAACAGUCUGAUACAAUCCUGGAUAAAUAGGUUAUUACUAAAAAAAAUAAAUAAAGCAGAUAAUCUUUUCCUGUCUGUAGGAGUGGCAGUAUUUUGAAACAUUGCUAAUGCCAUGUAUGAUCUUGCAAGCCCUGUAUAAUCCAUUUAUAUGUAUUAUUAUUUCUUAAUAAUUCUCCAGAAAAUAUCAAUCAAAUUGUUGGGCAGUAAACAGUAUGUAUGUACUGUCUGUAGUGACUUCAUGUUAUGUGUUCCUCCUAAAAAGUGCCAUAUAAUGGCAUGUACAGAUACAGAGUAAGCAGCUGUAGUUGGUGCUCUCCUAUACUUUUAAUUUUUCACCCUCUUAUGUGGUUAUGCCCAAAACCUCACAGUGCCAAUUAAGUUUAAACCGUAACAACUUAAUUUAAUUUAAUGACCAAUAGCAAUAUUUCCAUAUAUGUCGAGCCUCAUGCCAGUCUUCAGUAAAGUUCACUGAAGCACUGACUUGCAAUGAAGAUGGUCCCUCAAAAAAGUUGCUGAAAUAAGCCAUCAAUUUAAAAGAUGCUUUCCCCUUUCCCAAACUGUCUUGUGGAAACAGCUGCUAAAAGUAUUCAGAUAAAGAUUGCUGUCACAAUCACUGCAUGCUUGAUAUUAGAAAAUGGGCUGAAUCUUCCCAAGAGAAUAGUAAUGCUUUUGCUUGAAACAAUCUAAACCCAGAAGUGUCUGAUUUCACUUGUUCCAUCUACCGUGAAAGACAGAUACAAAUGCUGUGAGACUUGCGUGGUGUUUGGAUGUUAGUGUGGGGUUAGCCUAAUUCUCCUUUUUCCUGAGUCACAUACCAAAAUCUUCAUGUGAUCAAAAGCCACAGAGGAUGCGGACUGUCUGUGCAGGGGAUUGGGAGGUCCUGGAGUGAUUCAUAGACAGUAGCUGACAAAGCUCCCAGAGGGCUCAUUAAUUUACAGUGGAGAAGGUCUAGCUCAUGCCAGCCAUGCUGCUGGAUCCCUGAGCAGCCCAUUGAUUUUGGCGUUAGCAGCUGCUCCUGGCUCAUUUCCUUCCAUGGCCAGACAUUUGAAUUCCUCGUCAUUUUUUGUCAGCACAGUCUUCUGACUGGCCCUGCAAUUCAGCUAUUGACUUGGGCCUGUGCUUAACCAUUUGUGCAGGGCUGUGCUUGGUGUGCUGGCAGUUCAAGGAGGGUGUAGGCUACUACUGAUGAACCUGUUAGGAACCCAGAGAGAAAGGAACUGAGCCAACAGAAUGGUCAUGUACUUCAGCCUGUGAGGAAAAAAACAAGUAUAUUACUCUCCCUUUAAAUAAACUAAUUGGGCUUUUUGUUGUGACCUACAGGAACAUAACCAGAGUUGCACAAAUUACUUUUCUUAAGACUGAUGGAAGCUGGCAGAAAGCCCUGGGAAGCCAUCUCUGAUGUGUGCAAAGCUGAACAAACCCCAGCACUUGAAGUACUUGAAGGCGAAUGGUACAUAAAUCCAUGGUAGUUUAGACUUGGUAAGAAGGAAGGAAUUGAAGUUAAAAAAAUCAACUCUGACCAUAAACAGUGUAAAAGCAUAACUUUAAAGUGAACAGAGAUCAGCAAUUAAAACUGUUGGGUACCAACUUUUCUCUCAGGAAAUAUGAGAGCAGAACCUGAGUAAAUAAGAUGAGUACCUUUGCAGCAGCUGGUUGUGUAUUCUACAGAAAUCAUCAGUUGUGGUUCAGGACCAAGCCCAGCCAGAGGAUAUAGAGGGCUUGGAAUCAAGGAACUAAGGAAUAAUAUGUGCUUAUUUGACAUAGUACCCUAGCAACAAGUUGUUACGUUGCAGAAGCACUGCUCCCCUGGUGAAAACCAACAUAGCAUAACUGUGCACUGGUACAGAGCAAGAGAAGUGGAGGAUGGUUUGAUUAAGCCUUCUAAUUGCAAUUGAUACCCUCUCAUUCAUGUGUUGAAAGGGACAGGGACUUCUUUAUGGUACUUGUAAUUUUGUGAGAUGACUGACUACUCCAAACUGAAGUGGAAAACUGAAGAAAACCACAAACCUCGUAAUUAGGGUAAGGAUGCUUACUAGCAUUUUGUGGAUGUGAUUCACCGUCUUGCACUUGCUGACUGGCUAUUUGAGUCUGGUAACAUCGCUUGCAUCAUGAGGUGACCUGGAGCUGGGAACAUUUGGGUGCACAGGAACCUUUCCCCAACCUUACGGGAGACAGGUGCAUCGUGGAUAAAAUGAGUAAAUGCUGAAUGCUGCUUGUACAACUUGUGAAAGAGCAGAGAAGAGUAGGCAAGUUAAUGCAAUUAUUUAUAUUAUUUUAAAGAUACUUUCUUGGACUGGACGCAGCCUUACAGAGCCAAGUCAAGGAAUAUUUGACAGAAGAAAUGUCUCUACCAAUGUUAUGUGGCCUUGUGAUUCUUGCUGUCUUUAUUGUGGCCUUUACUGAUUUGGAAGUCCCUUGCUAGAUGUUCAGUAGUCGUUGCUAGACUGAUUAUCACAGAAUCAUAGAAUGUUUAGGGUUGGACGAGACCUUAAAGAUCAUGUAAUUCCAACCCCCCUGCCAUGGGCAGGGAUACCUUCCACAAGACCAGGUUCCUCAGAGCUCUGUUCAACCUGACCUUGAACACUGCCAGGGAUGGAGCACCCACAAUUUCUCUGGGCAACCUGUUUCAGUACCUCAGCACCCUCACAAUAAAAAAUUUCUUCUGUAUGUCUAACCUAGAUUUCCCCUCUUUCAGUUUGAAGACAUUCCCCCUUGUUCUGUCACUACAGUUCCUGAUGAAGAGUCCCUCUCUGGCUUUCCUGUGGGCCCCUGCGGAUACCAGAUGGUGAUGCAAUUAUACAAUCUUCCCUUCUUCGGGUUGAACAGCCCCAACUCUCUCAGCCUGUUUGCAUAGGGGAGGUGCUCUAGUCCCCUUAUCAACUUCAUAGCCCUCCUCUGGACUUGCUCUAACAGCUCCAUGUCCUUCUUUACGCUGGGGGCACCAGACCUGAACACAAUAUUCCAGGUGGGAUCUCAUGAGAGUGAUCUGUAAGACUUUUAGGAAAGAAACUUGUUACUGUAGAUAUAUUUAAAAAUCCAAACAAACAAAAUCCAGAAAACAAAACCCAAACCCUUUGCUUCCUAAAAAUAAAGUGUUGAAAGUGGUCUUUUCAAACAGUGUUAGAAAUAAUUUCUCCUUCUAAAUGUUCAGAAAUUUAACUAUUUUAAAAUAUAUAAUGAGAGAUGGGCUCUUGUGAAAGUGCGUGCUGUUUCUUUUCCUUGGAAAUUCAUCUUCUUUUGUCAUGACAUUUUGCUUAGGUUAAUGGUGUCCCUGCAGUAGAGUACUGUGCAUGUUCCUCAGCAUGGGUGGGGAGUCAGAUAGCCAAUUAUUUAAAAGAAACAACGGUUGAAUUAUUAGGUUAGAUGAAAACCAGAUUAUCAUAAUACAUAAAUUACAUGAGCACUUUAGAGUGCGUGAUGCUGAAUAGCUGUUUGGAUCUGCUAUCAAGUUCUGAGGCAUUUUGUGUGAAAUGCUGAUUCGUGCUUGGCUGUUCCCUGCAAUGCUUGCACACAGGGCAAGGAGAGGAACGCUGAGUACUUCCCUGCUCAGAGCACUGUGCUUCUAAUUUUGUGGUCUUUUCUUGGAUGUGACACCUAGAAAGGGGCAGAUUACAUUACCAGUUAAUGAGCUGCAGAAUGAUAUGCAGUGCUUUUUGGGCUACUCUCCUUUCUGAUGCUUAAUAACUCUACAUACAAAACUGGGACAAGAACUUAACUUACUCUUUGCCAUCCAUCAAAACAACAUGAGUUGCAUUUAUUGAGGGGAGAAAGAUUUGACAGGGGAAAAAACGAAGUGGUAGAAAUUGUAGACCAACCAGGUGCAAGCUGGCUGCCUAAAUGCAUGCAACUCAAAUGGCAUAAAAGUUUCUCUACAGGCAUAUUGGGUGGUCAGAUUGUCAUUGGAAUUAUAUGGCUUGGAAUCAGAAAUAUCUCCAUUUUCUCCUCUGAAUUUACUCCAGAUUCACACAAGUGUAACUGAGAUAAAAUAAUUAAUUAUAAACUGUCAGAUUCUUUCUUAUUUUCACUGCAGCCAGGAGCCAAGACAUAGCUUGACUCAUGUUGGAAAAUGAGACCAUGCUUGCAGUCUUUGCUGGUUAAUAGCAAGGAAAGAGCUCUGUGCUUGUUUAAUUAAUUUGCUCUUUACCAAGAGAGCUAUUUCAAUGUUGUGCCUGUGUCUAGUAAUCGAGUUUGAUUUCUCAGUGUCUCAUUCAAACUACAUCUUGUGAAAAUUUUUGCCUUCUAACAAAAACUUGACUGUUGCACAUGUGUGCUUGCUGCCUUGCUGCUCACUGGAAGGUGGUAUUUACUGAACUGAAGAGCUUAAAGGCUCUGUCAAGGUGGAGAGGUAAAUGUGAUCUGUACUACGCCUUGAGGCAAGGUUCGUUAAUUAUUUUUCUCCUGGAAAUCAUGUUGACAGGCAGAUGGCAUGUGCUCAAAUCUCACCCUGACAUGGAGCCUGGACAGAGUCGGGUUGGGAUAUAUCUGGGUCUGGGAGAUGGUGAGUGAUUCCAGGUCCUGUAUUUAAGACAUAGUCUUAGACCUGGCAACUUCAGAUGUUAAUAUCAGGCUUGUGAUAUUGCUUUUUGCCUACAAAGUCUAUUUCUGCCUUUGUCAGGUUUAGCAGUUCUCCUGUGUCCUGUUCAUAUGCUGUAAUUCUUUUGACUUGCUAAUUCAGACCAGCUGAUAAAGAGGAAUUUUUUGAGCACAGCCUUGUCACUGUAGGGGUGGAAGCUACUAUUCAUGUAUUCAAUUUCAUCUCUACAGAUACUCAUUUGAUUUUAAUUCUCUUAUAACAUAUAAAAACAUAAGAAGGGCCUGUUGGAUCAGAUCAGUAGAGAAAGAGAUUUUGUUUAGGAGGGUCAUGCGAGCCUGACCCCUCUUUGCAGACUAUUCCUCUCCCAUCAACAUUCACAGUUGUUGGACUAGGAAUGCUAGGGGAUACAUCCAUGCCAUCUGUUCAAUUGUAGUGAUGUUUCUUGUUGUAUUUUGUAGCAAUGAAUAUUUUAAUUAUAGUUUGAAAUUUGACUGUAUCACAGUAAGUGUAGAUGGUGUUUGGGAUAUGCCCUUCCAGUCUUAAAUUCUGUGUAAAUCAGUUUCUUAAUUUUGUGUUAUAAUUCUGUGUUUCAACAAUUUAUUUGGACUCUGAGCACUCACCAAAUAUUUCAUACUCAGUUAUAGUCCACUGUUAGCAAAACUGCAAUUGAACUGUGCUGUUAGCACUGUCUAGCAACUGUGUCUUUCCCAUUUCAUCCUUUUUCUCCUGUGUAACAAUAAAAAGGCUUUUCUUUAGUUUUA